CCCUGGGCUCCGGCCAUGAAGCGCCCCUCAGGGCUGGAGGAGGCCCAGUCGCCGGCCUCAGACAUCCGCGUGUUUGCCAGCAGCUGCUCGAUGCACGGCCUGGGCCACGUCUUCGGCCCGGGGGGCCCGAUGGCGCGCCGGGGGCUGUGGACCACAGCCGUGCUCCUGGCACUGGCCACCCUCCUCUACCAGGUGGCUGGGAGGGUGCGCUACUACGGGGAGUUCCACCACGAGACGGCCCUGGAGGAGCGUGAGAGCCGCCGGCUCACCUUCCCGGCCGUCACCCUGUGCAACAUCAACCCGCUGCGCCGCUCACGCCUCACGCCCAAUGACCUGCACUGGGCCGGGCCCGCACUGCUGGGCCUGGAGCCCACCGAGCACGCCGCCUACCUGCGUGCCCUGGGCCGGCCCCCCGCGCCGCCCGGCUUCAUGCCCAGCCCCACCUUCGACGUGGCCCGGCUCUACGCCCGGGCCGGGCACGCCCUCGAGGACAUGCUGCUGGCCUGCCGCUACCGAGGCUGGCUGUGCGGGCCCGAGAACUUCACCACGGUCUUCACCCGCAUGGGGCAGUGCUACACCUUUAACUCUGGCGCCGAAGGCGCAGAGCUGCUCACCACUCCCAAGGGCGGCAUGGGCAACGGGCUGGAGGUGCUGCUGGACGUGCAGCAGGAUGAGUACCUGCCCGUGUGGAGGGACACGGAGGAGACGCCGUUUGAGGUGGGGAUCCGAGUGCAGAUCCACAGCCAGGAGGAGCCGCCGCUCGUUGACCAGCUGGGCUUCGGGGCGGCCCCUGGCUACCAGACCUUUGUGUCCUGCCAGAAGCAGCAACUGAGCUUCCUGCCGCCGCCCUGGGGUGACUGCAGCUCUGUCUCUCUGGACCCCGACUUUGAGCCGGAACCCUCUGGUCCUCUGGACCCCCCCAGGCCCAGCCUAGGCCCCAGCCCUCCCUAUAGUCUAAUAGGGUGUCGCCUGGCCUGCGAGAGCCGCUAUGUGGCUCGGAAGUGCGGCUGCCGAAUGAUGCAUAUGCCAGGCGGCGCGCCGGUGUGCAGCCCCCAGCAGUACAAGGACUGUGCCCACCCGGCGCUGGACGCCAUGCUGCAGAAGGACGCGUGCACCUGUCCCAACCCGUGCGCCAGCACGCGCUACGCCAAGGAGCUCUCCAUGGUGCGGAUGCCGAGCCGCGCCGCCGCCCGCUACCUGGCCCGGAAGCACAACCGCAGCGAGGCCUACAUCGCGGAGAACGUGCUGAUGCUGGACGUCUUCUUUGAGGCCCUCAACUACGAGACGGUGGAGCAGAAGAAGGCCUACGAAAUGUCGGAGCUGCUCGGUGACAUUGGGGGCCAGAUGGGGCUGUUCAUCGGCGCCAGCCUGCUCACUGUCCUUGAGAUCCUGGACUACCUCUGUGAGGUGUUCCGGGACAGAGUCCUGGGAUACUUCUGGAACCGAAAGCGCUCCCAAAGGCACUCCAGCGCCAACCUGGUAAUAGCCCCCCCCUCCUCCCCUGCCGUCUCCACUGUGGGUGCUGAGCCCCUCCUCCUAAGUGUAGAACACCCCCCCACCCAGCUGAGAAAAAGUGAUGGGGGAGGGGCGUGCAGUGACCUUGGCUGGUCUCUGGGAGGGAGCAUCCCCGCCGCCACCACCCCCAAUCUCUGACCCUCUUCCCACAGCUUCAGGAAGGGCUGGGCAGCCAACGAACCCCAGUUCCCCACCUCAGCCUGGGCUCCAGGCCUCCCACCCCUCCCUGUGCCGUCACCAAGACACUCUCUUCCUCUCAACGCACCUGCUACCUCGUCACCCAGCUCUAGAUGGGGC